UUAUUAUUGGUAUCUGAUAUUUCUUGUACUUGAAUGAUAUAAGAUUACAUGUUUGCAUGGCUUGUGCUUGUAUGUAUUAAUUAAAGACCUACCUGCUAGUCGGUGCCUUGCAGAAAGUGUUUGGAAUAUUUUCUAAAGCAAUCAUUUUCUCGGAGUAAGAGUGAUGGCAUGUUUAGGUUUCUCUAGUUUCAGAAACUAAAAGCCAAAAAGGAGAGCCAAAUGAGGUUGAUGCUCAUAAUUCAUAAUAGGUUAGAACUGGGUUUUCCUUACUUUGUCAUGUGUAUUGAAUUGAUCCUGUUGACUUGUCUUAUCGUGUAUCAACCUCUCAUUCUUGUAAUCUCAAUCACAACUUGAAUAACGCUGGACAGAUGCUUUCUCAAUUGCCAUCACCUUUCUUUUUCAAUUGGUGAUGCCAUUUUAAUUCCGUCUUGCUCAAAUGUACUGAUUCAGUGUACAAUUCCCCCCCCCCCCCAAAAAAAAAAAAAAAAAA